AGGAGCUUGCUCCUUGGGUGACGAGUGGCGGACGGGUGAGUAAUGUCUGGGAACUGCCCGAUGGAGGGGGAUAACUACUGGAAACGGUAGCUAAUACCGCAUAACGUCGCAAGACCAAAGAGGGGGACCUUCGGGCCUCUUGCCAUCGGAUGUGCCAGAUGGGAUUAGCUAGUAGGUGGGGUAACGGCUCACCUAGGCGACGAUCCCUAGCUGGUCUGAGAGGAUGACCAGCCACACUGGAACUGAGACACGGUCCAGACUCCUACGGGAGGCAGCAGUGGGGAAUAUUGCACAAUGGGCGCAAGCCUGAUGCAGCCAUGCCGCGUGUAUGAAGAAGGCCUUCGGGUUGUAAAGUACUUUCAGCGAGGAGGAAGGUGUUGUGGUUAAUAACCGCAGCAAUUGACGUUACUCGCAGAAGAAGCACCGGCUAACUCCGUGCCAGCAGCCGCGGUAAUACGGAGGGUGCAAGCGUUAAUCGGAAUUACUGGGCGUAAAGCGCACGCAGGCGGUCUGUCAAGUCGGAUGUGAAAUCCCCGGGCUCAACCUGGGAACUGCAUCCGAAACUGGCAGGCUAGAGUCUUGUAGAGGGGGGUAGAAUUCCAGGUGUAGCGGUGAAAUGCGUAGAGAUCUGGAGAUACCGGUGGCGAACGCGGCCCCCUGGACAAAGACUGACG
rnacentral:rRNA from 1 species